rnacentral:lncRNA from 1 species
UUACACAUUGACAAGCUUGAAACAAAACAAACAAAUAAGUUGAAAAACAAAGGAUUCGUUGAAAAUCCCAAGUCUGACCAAGCUGUAAAGAAUUGGUCAUAACUCCUUCUAGAGAACUCCAAAUCCAGCUUUGUAAAAUUUAUUGGAAAGCUAACUUAAUUAUCUUUCCAACGGUAUAUAGCUUGCAUUUUAAUUCUGGGUCAAUCAAUACAGUUUUUAUUCCGAAUUUGACCUUUCUGCAUUUGAUACAACUUGUGUAUUUGGCUGCCCAAUGACUUGAAUAAUGCCCACAAUGCCUUGUCUUCUCUUCAAGCCCAAUUCAUGAUGUCUUGCAUCUUGAAUUGCAUUUUCAAUCCAUAUUUUCUCAAUUAAUCCAUUUAAAGUAGCUUGCAUAUUUUUGGCUCUUGCUCUUGUAAUUGGGCCUCCAUGAAUGUGCAAAGGAUCACUUGAAGUUUUAAUGGUCCCUUGAUGGUUCUCAUCA